AAUUCAUAGACUUUUUGUAUGUCAAUCGCUCAGAUACAGUUUUUUUUUAAGGAAUAAUUACUUAUAUACCUCUUAAAAUUUUUGAAAUAUUAUUCUUUUUUUUUUUUUAAAUAUACUACUUGUAUAUUUCUCCGUUAUUCAAAAAUAACCCUAGUGUUAGUAUUCGUUAAGUCAUCUCAGAUUAAGUCCGAAUUAAAUUUCUACCAAAGUUAAAAAAAAAUCAAAAUAUCUCUUUUACUCUUAACUUACUAAUAUAUUUUUUUAAUAGAUAAUUAUCCAUUUUAACGGGCAAUUGUUUUUAUAUCCCUAAAAGUUUCAGACUUUUUUUAUUUACUAAACUUAGAAGGCUAAUAUUAAAAAUAUUUUCGAAUGUUUCAAGUUCUUUCAAAUAUUUUCCUAGAGUUGGAUUAUGUUAGUUAUUUACAUGUAACUAUGAAGUUGUGAAGUCGUGAUGUUGUGAUUAGUUAUAUAUAAUUGUUUUGAAUUGUUGAUUUAGCCAUAUUGGUAACCUGAUUUUACCCAUGACUGUAUUUUUAUAAGCUUAGAGAUAAAAAAGGUGAUCGUUGGAAGAUGACUGUUGGAAGAUAAUUUGACAUUUGAAGAAAAAAAAAAGAAAUGUGGGUGACAAUAGAAAAGCAUAUUUGAAUGCGCAAAAUAGUAAUUUUUCAAAGAUAACGGCUGUUCCUAAUAGUUCUCUAAGGAAUUCAUAACUAGGAAUAUAUAUAUUUGAAAGAACUUGGACUAUUAGAAGAGUAAGUCUCCUGUACUUUCGAAAGUACGAAGACCUCCGUGCUUGUAAGUUAUUUUCGAUGAUAGAAAAUCUGAUUCGACGAUCGGCUCUGUUAAAUAUAAUCUACAAUAUUGGAACUAUUUAGAAACUAAAAUUUAUAUUUUUUUGACAUCAUGUACCAAGUGAUCAAAAGGUCUCAAAAAUGAUUAUUUUAACGGCCGAUGUGGCACGUUUUUAAGUUCAACGGUGUAGAAGUAUCCAAAUUAGAUGAAAAUUUAAUAGAAAUUUCUACUUAACAUCAAUAGCAAGAUCAAUGCUUCCGAUUUGAAAUUUGAGUCCUUUAUCAGUGUUGUUUAUGAGAUUUUUAUUCUUAGCCGUUCAUUUUGAGGCUACUCGUUUACUAGACAAACGAAGUCAAAAAUUUAUGGAAUUUAGUUUCUAGGUAGUUCUAAUAGCAUAGAUCAUGUCUAAUGAAACCAAUCGCCGAAUCGGAUGUCCCAUUAUUGAAAACAAUUUACAAGUACGGAGGCUUCCGUACUUUCGAAAGCAUAGGAGCGUAGCUCCUAUUAGAAAGGUAUUUUUCAUUUGAUGUGUAUAAUUUUCACGGCAGGGACAUAUUUGAAAAUAUUAGAAUUUUUAUACGAAUAACUUAUGAAAGUUGAACUUUACAGAAAUAUAUCUGCAAUUUACUAUAUUUGCAGGGACCUGUAUGCAAUUGACCCUAAAUAUAAAUACAGUAUAAUUAGAAAUACAUGCAUAUAGUUAAAUGUGUACUACAUAUCUGCAUCGUUUCCAUUUGAUGUGUAUAAUUUU
rnacentral:lncRNA from 1 species